rnacentral:pre_miRNA from 11 species
CUAAAACCUAAUGUUUUGCAGUCCUCUGUUAGUUUUGCAUAGUUGCACUACAAGAAGAAUGUAGUUGUGCAAAUCUAUGCAAAACUGAUUGUGGCCUGUUAUUGUCUGCAUUUCAAGC